rnacentral:rRNA from 1 species
GCUCGUAGUUGGAUUUCUGGUCGGAGCGAUCGGUCCGCCUCAUUCGGGGUGUGUACUUUGUGUCGCUCCAGCCAUCCUUGAGGCGAGCUGUCCUGGCAUUGAGUUGUUGGGGCAGGAACCUCAUCUUUUACUGUAGAAAAAAUUAGAGUGUUUAAAGCAGGCUUACGCCGUUGAAUACAUUAGCAUGGAAUAAUAAGAUAGGACUUUGGUGGUCUAUUUUGUUGGUUUGCACACCGAAGUAAUGAUUAAGAGGGACAGUUGGGGGUAUUCGUAUUUAAUUGUCAGAGGUGAAAUUCUUGGAUUUCUGAAAGACGAACUACUGCGAAAGCAUUUACCAAGGAUGUUUUCAUUAAUCAAGAACGAAAGUUAGGGGAUCGAAGAUGAUUAGAUACCAUCGUAGUCUUAACCAUAAACUAUGCCGACUCGGGAUUGGCGGGCGUUAACUUUAUGACUCCGUCAGCACCGUAUGAGAAAUCAAAGUCUUUGGGUUCCGGGGGGGAGUAUGGUCGCAAGGCUGAAACUUAAAGGAAUUGACGGAAGGGCACC